GACGAACGCUGGCGGCGUGCCUAACACAUGCAAGUCGAACGGAGAAUUUUAUUUCGGUAGAAUUCUUAGUGGCGAACGGGUGAGUAACGCGUAGGCAACCUGCCCUUUAGACGGGGACAACAUUCCGAAAGGAGUGCUAAUACCGGAUGUGAUCAUCGUGCCGCAUGGCAGGAUGAAGAAAGAUGGCCUCUACAAGUAAGCUAUCGCUAAAGGAUGGGCCUGCGUCUGAUUAGCUAGUUGGUAGUGUAACGGACUACCAAGGCGAUGAUCAGUAGCCGGUCUGAGAGGAUGAACGGCCACAUUGGGACUGAGACACGGCCCAAACUCCUACGGGAGGCAGCAGUGGGGAAUCUUCCGCAAUGGACGAAAGUCUGACGGAGCAACGCCGCGUGAGUGAUGAAGGAUUUCGGUCUGUAAAGCUCUGUUGUUUAUGACGAACGUGCAGUGUGUGAACAAUGCAUUGCAAUGACGGUAGUAAACGAGGAAGCCACGGCUAACUACGUG
rnacentral:rRNA from 1 species